rfam:Gossypium raimondii chromosome 10, whole genome shotgun sequence.
AGUUCAUGGUGUGGCCAUUUUUGAAUCAUUAUUUUAAAGCACUCCCAAGCUUCAUGGAAACUUUCUCCUUCAAGUUGCUUAAACAUAGCAAUCUCUCUCCUUAGUU